GACGAACGCUGGCGGCGUGCUUAACACAUGCAAGUCGAGCGGUAAGGCCCUUUCGGGGGUACACGAGCGGCGAACGGGUGAGUAACACGUGGGUGACCUGCCCUCAGCUCUGGGAUAAGCCUGGGAAACCGGGUCUAAUACUGGAUAUGACUCCAUGACGCAUGUUGUGGGGUGGAAAGCCUUGUGCGGCUGAGGAUGGGCCCGCGGCCUAUCAGCUUGUUGGUGGGGNGAUGGCCUACCAAGGCGACGACGGGUAGCCGGCCUGAGAGGGCGACCGGCCACACUGGGACUGAGACACGGCCCAGACUCCUACGGGAGGCAGCAGUGGGGAAUCUUGCGCAAUGGGCGAAAGCCUGACGCAGCG
rnacentral:rRNA from 1 species